AUUGAACGCUGGCGGCAGGCCUAACACAUGCAAGUCGAGCGAGCGGCGGACGGGUGAGUAAUGUAUGGGGACUGCCCGAUAGCGGGGGAUAACUACUGGAAACGGUAGCUAAUACCGCAUACUAUCGGAUAACCCAUAUGGGAUUAGCUAGUAGGUGAGGUAAUGGCUCACCUAGGCGACGAUCCCUAGCUGGUCUGAGAGGAUGAUCAGCCACCCGGGAACUGCGCCACGCCCCAGACUCCUACGGGGGCAGCGGUGGGGAAUAUUGCACAAUGGGCGCAAGCCGGAGGCAGCAAUGCGGGGUGUAGGAAGAAGGCCCUGGGGUUGUAAGGUACUUUCAUUCGGAAGGCGUUACCGACAGAAGAAGCACCGGCUAACUCCGUGCCAGCCGCCGCGGUAAUAC
rnacentral:rRNA from 1 species